AUAUUAAUGCAGUGUACCAGUUUAAAUACAUUAGGACACCCGGAUAUGGUCAUCUAGGACCGAAACAAGUUGGGUUAAAAGUCGUCACUACUAUUGUUACGCCACAUCACUGCCACGUAACUGCCACGUCUCUGCAACGUCUGCAGCAGUAGAAGGGGUUUUCGGGCGCAGCUACUGUUACGUAACACCCGCUAUAAAUACGUCUCUGCGAGAGCAGAGAGUCACAGUUUUCUGCGUACGUCCCUUUGCGAGCAGUUAUCUUGUAGACACAGACCGUUCUACUGUUGAGACGCUGGGAAGAAAAAGGUUGCAAGAGCGCAGUGUGAAAAACUGAUUUCAUCUCUUUCCAUCAUGAAGAUCAAGAGCUUCUUUAAAAGAAUAGUUGGUUGUCGCAGCGCAAGCAAAAGAAGGAAGCUUGAGGACCUGCAGCAGGAGCUAAAGUACCUUAAGCAGACCAGUGAAUUGACUAUCACCGUAAUGGAAUGCAGAGUAUCUCAAAUGCAAGAGAGAGUUGAUACCAUCCUUAGGGAACGGGCUCAACUGUGGACAGAAAUUAGACAACUGCAGGAGCAGUGUGAGGUAAGGAAAGCUAACUUGUCUCAGAAU